rnacentral:misc_RNA from 1 species
GAAGAAUUGGGCUUGGAACCAUCAUAUCAAUCAUGCAUGAUUCCAGCAAUUAUUGUGUACAAUUUUACAUUACCAUUGCACCAUUCAAGGAGGGGAAAACAUUAUGUUUCGACUAAAGAGCAACUUUAGCUAAUGGGCAAAUACUUUAGUUGGGGAGCACAAAGCAACUUGAAAAGAGAAAAAUCAAUCCAACAAAAGGACGAUAUCUGAAUACUAUAAUGUUACAAGCCCCUACUAAUAACGUAAGGAUACUAGAACCUUUCUUGGACUCUGUUCCAUUUUUCUUUUUUUCUCUUUUUUCCUUGAAAACUAUAGCCCUAUCCACGAUCCUUCUUAUCCUUCACAAAAUAUGAUUAAGCAAGGCACACCCACAUAUCCCAAAACUUCAAUCCUUCUAAUAGUUUUCGUUCUGAUUCUUGCAAAACCAAUGAAUCCUUGGAACCCUGAUGUAUAGUAUAAUAGAUGAUGCUUAUUAAGUAUACAGCGUAUGCCUGGUUGAGAAAUCAAGGGACGAUCAACAAAAUUUAUAUCAAAGUAAUAAUCACUCCACAAACUCCAAAAUAUAAAUAUAUGUGCACUCAAGAGUACCAAAUCAGCCUCAGUCUCAGCCUCUGGCCAUGCCAAUUACAACAAUUUCUGCUGAGAAUAUACACCUGAUUUAUAUCUGAUAUAUAUCUUGUCUUGCACAUAGUUCAAAGGCUUUCAGUGAUUCAGGAUCGACCAGGUGGUUGCCGAGAUUGAGAUGCUCUCCUGUUAUGAAUGGGAUCAGGUCCAUUAGGCACUCUUCUCUUGAUCACAUAAUUGAGAUCCAAGUCCUUAUGACGAGGAUGCCUUCCUCUUCCAAUCAAUAUUGAAUGCUGGAAAGUUCCAGUUGAAACAACUGUAGCUCUUCUUGUCAUUCUUGUAGCAUGGUUAGCCGAAAUUCCAACACAUAAGAACCAAAUAACCCCUACAAACAAAAUAGCUCCCAAUAGAGCCCUCAAAGCUCUUCUGCCACUCCCCAUGUUUUUGUACCCUCUUUGCACUAACACUUUACAACACAGAAUAACUGCUCACCAUUCAGAAUGUAGACUAAUGGGGAAAUCAAGAAUAAAACCAUGCUGGUUUUAAGUGGAUGAAUGAAGUUCGACAGAACGCAGAAAAAAGAAAGGAAGGGGAAACAAAGUAAGGCAAGAAAAGUAUUUUCCUGGCCCUUAACUUGGCGGGUAAGAGGUGAGCGCAGUUGUAUUUAAAAGAAUGUAAAGC